UUGUAGUCAGAUCGCAUAAAACACAAUCUACUAUUUCGGGUUAGAAUACAAAUACUUUCAAACUAGCAUACCGUUAUGUGCAAACCUAAUAGUUUCACGCAAGUAAGGACGUUCCAAAGCGUAUGGUCACGUAUGUAAGAAUGCACAUCUGUUAUAUUGUGCGGUUGCUGGUUCACAUAUACAUUUAUUAUAAGUAUAUAUGACUAAAUUGCAUGGUCACGUAUGUAAGAAAGUAGAAACAAACAAAUCCAGUUACAUAAGGCUAAACAAACUUGUAAGAUCACGUAAGUACAGAUGUGCAAACUGUAAAGAACGAAUGUAAGGAUUUUACGGAAUGGUAAAAUAACGGAAACAAGGACUGUACGAUUACGAAUGUAAUGUGUACAGACUAGCGAGGUUACGAAUGUAAGGAUGUACAAACUAAUAAGGUUGUGAAUGUAAGGAUGUAAAAACUAAUAAGGUUGAUAAUGUAAGGAUGUACACACUGGUAAGGUCACGAAUGGAAGGAUGUACACACUGGUGACUUUACGAAUGUAAGGAUGUACAAACUAACAAGGUUGAGAAUGUAAGGAUGUACACACUGGUAAGAUUACGCAUGUAAGGAUGUACACACUGGUAAGGUCACGAAUGUAAGGAUGUACACACUGGUAAGGUCACGAAUGUAAGGAUGUACACACUGGUAAGGUCACGAAUGUAAGGAUGUACACACUGGAAAGGUCACGAUUGUAAGGAUGUACACACUGGUAAGGUCACGAAUGUAAGGAUGUACACACUGGUAAGGUCACGAAUGUAAGGAUGUACACACUGGUAAGGUUACGAAUGUAAGGAUGUACACACUGGUAAGGUCACGAAUGUAAGGAUGUACACACUGGUAAGGUCACGAAUGUAAGGAUGUACACACUGGUAAGUCUACGAAUGUAAGAAUGUACACACUGGUAAGGUCACGAAUGUAAGGAUGUACACACUGGUAAGGUUACGAAUGUAAUGAUGUACACACUGGUAAGGUCACGAAUGUAAGGAUGUACACACUGGUAAGGUCACGAAUGUGUGAUGUACAGACUGGUAAGUCUACGAAUGUAAGGAUGUACCGGCUGGUAAUGUUACGAAUGUGUGAUGUACACACUGGAAAGGUUACGAAUGUAAGGAUAUUUUGACAGGUAAACUUGUGAAUGUUAUGGUGCGCAAACUUGUUAUUGCACAGGUACACACUUCAAAGUCCACUUGGCUUAAGACACUCAUAACUUGUUAGUUAACGCACGUAAGUAUGUGCAGUCAUGUAAGGGCAAGUCUGGAAGGUUGUGCAAUAAAAUCUUUUACAGUGUCAUAUUUUGUUUGACACAUGAUUUUGCGGACCCGUUUCUUAUGACUAUUAACCCAUAUCAGGCCGUAUGGCCAUGUAUGUAGUUGCUUACAAACAUACGUUAUGAUAAAAAACCGUAUGGCCAUGCAUGUAGUUGUUUAAAAACAUACGUUAUGAUAACAAAGCAUGUAACUUAUUAUUGCCUGUAUGUAAGGCUCCACAAACGUGUAAGUUACAUUUUACGGUCACGUAUUGGUAAGGAUGUACAAACUAUAAUGUAAGGUAACAUAGAACAAUUAUUUACAAACAUUGUAACUAGUCGACUAUGUAGGGAUGCAAAAGCUUAUGUGGUGAUGGAUCACAGAUGUUAGGAUCAACAUAACAGCGAAGUCGCAUAAUGUACAAAGUACAAGCUUGUAAGGUCGCGUAUCUAAGGAGGUACAAACUUGUAAUGACAUUAUGUAAGAAUGAACAGUCUCGGAAGGUCACCUUUAUAAGGAGGUUCACACUUGUGAUGUCACAUAUGAAAGGAUGUACAGUCGUUAAAUGUCACGUAUGUAAGAACAUACAAGCUUUACGGUCACGUAUAAACAGAAGUACAAACGUCUAAGAUUGGUAUGUAAAAGCUUGUAAUGUCACGUAUGUUAGGAUUUACAAACUAUAGCAGGGUAACAUUGGAAAAAUUAAUCUUAGGUUUGCACCUUCAAAAAAUUUAAUACGUAUUCAGGUUUCACGUCGUAAUUAAGGUCGUGAUACAAGUGCUAUUACGCGUUCGUUGUUAACUUCACGCAUCAUGAACUAAUCGGCAACUUUGGAAAACUUAAACCAAUUUUAUUACUACUUGUGCGU